rnacentral:tRNA from 1 species
UAGCCUAGUGGUUAAGGCUAUGGAUCGCCAAUCCGGAGAAGGCGGGUCCGAUUCCCGU